GUGCUCGCUUUGGCAGCACAUAUACUAAAAUUGGAACGAUACAGAGAAGAUUAGCAUGGCUCCUGCACAAGGAUGACACGCAAAAUCAUGAAGUGUUCCAUAUUUUU
rnacentral:snRNA from 1 species